AAUUGGGACAGGGGCAUGUCUCAUUUCUCGGAAGUCGUCGAUCUCGCAAAUCAACAGUAAAGAUAUAUUGAGUUAGAAUAAUAUUGUUCUCGAGCAAAAAAUAUUCGGCACAUUUCAACCGUCGAUUUGCGAGACCGACAGCUCCGAGGGGUGGGACAGACCCUGUCCGGAUUGGGUCGGACAAGGGAUCUGGACUCGAGAGGGAGGGGGUUUCUUCUCUUCAUUUCUCAUCCUCCCCCACCAUUUCUCACCCCUUUGAUGAUCCAAACAUGGGAUGGAAUCACUUUUUCUCUCAUUUUCUUUUCUUUUCUCUCGAAAUCUCUCAAUCCAAAGGAGCCCUUAGCCACUCCCUCUUCCUUUUCUUCCACAUCUUAAUCACACGUGUUUGUAGCUUCUUCCACAGAGUAUGCCAAGUGUUCACCGCCAUUCGUUUCAGAAUUCGCUCUGCAACAGGAGCAUAAAAUUUGUCAAAUAUGCGGAUACAUAAGAGAAUUUUAAUAAAUUGCUAAAAGAACGAUCAUUUCUCUUCUCUCACCCCAGCAAGGGAUCAUUUUUCUCUCAUAUCACUGUUGCUUUGAAAGCAAAAUCCUUUUUGUUUUUUCCCCUUCCCUUUACCGAUUGCUUCUUGUUAUUAUGACCUUGUUUUACCGUUGCAGGUGAUGGAUCAUGGCGGCUAUAUGUUUUCUUGCGCUUGCAAUGUCCCCCCUAUUCAACGUUUUCAGAUGCAAGACUCGAUUAGGUCAAGGUCUGCUUUAUCAGAGCGAGCUUGGCACAAUUGGGUAGUCCUGGAGCAUCUAUCAUUCUUCCAUUUAAACCCUUUGACUCCUUUGGGACAACCACAUAUCCCUUCAUCGCAGAAGCCGAAAUCCCCGCAUUGGCGAGGAAGUUGACAGACUCCGAAAUCUUUGGUAACCAUAUCGACAAUCUCAUUUGCCCUGGUUGCUGGUUCGUGCCUGUAUAACUUCAAACUCCCAUUGCUAUUGAGUCGUACGUACUCAACAGACAAAUCCAACGGCAGUUUUGAGCGGUUUGAUCCCAUGUUCUCGAGGAAUCCUCUGGUUUGGAGCUCUGCGUUAUCUGAGGUAUUGACUUCGAUUUUCGUUAGAAGAGGACACCGGCCUCUAAGUGAACUUUGAUCCGUGGUAUCCGGCUCUGGUUCCAGCUGGUAGUACAUCUGUGAUCCACCGUUACCCACCCUGGUAAAUGCAGCUAGUCCAGAGAUUGUUACAGUGGCAUAGUACAAACCCGACACAAGCCUCUGAUCCUCGUACAACCGUUGUCCGGCCAACAAUGUAUCGGUUGGGUGAUCAAAAGACUGCCAAACAGCUCCCGUCUCAUUAAACAAAACCAAGUUUCCCAAUUCGGUUAAGUUCAUUCCCGCCACAGAGAUCCCUGCCGUUCCGGUCGACCACACAGUCGAUCCAUCCGGAUUCCGGAGCACUAAAUCCCCCUCUCGAGUCAGUGUCAGGUUCGCGUUCUCGCUCACCGGGUGUUCCGGGUUUGCUGACCAAACCAAGGCGGGAUUGCCUCCUCCAACGACAGUAAUGCCGAAGUAGUAAGAGGUGCAGUUGCCAGUGCAGUAGAAUCCAGAGACAAAGCCGAGGCUCCUUGUUCUUGAUAGAAUUGCUCUUACUUUUGAUCCGUCGGUGCUGUUUACGUUCAUGUCGAUCGAGUUGUCGUUUAGCCAUGACGUCGGUUCGCUUGAGUUGAGGAGGAUUGUGGGGCUGGUUGCGGCUAGAGUGCAGGCAAAGAAGUAAGGUAUAAUGAACAGGAAAAUGGAGGAGUCCAUGGUUACUGUGAAACAAAUUUAUUGAGGAUCUGUUUACGGUGGUGCUUGAUCAAGCUGAAUGGAGAGAGAGAGAGAGAGAGAGAGAGAGAGAGAGCGCUACAAGUCCAAGUCAAGAUGGGAGACUAGUCAGGCAAAGCUUGGGAGCCGUACAAUAGGCAUCUUUGAUUAGAAGAAAGAUAGAAACUUCCACCCCCCUACGAAACGCAUGCCAGGGCCAGUGAAACUCUAAAAUUCUUGUCGUUUCUCAUUUCCAUUUAAUGUGGUUUUUGGAAACAAAAACAAGAGUUCAAUGAACCAACUGUAGUUACUCGGGUUGUUUUCACAAAGAUAGUUCUCGGAAAUUCGAUAUAAUACGACUCGGAAGUAUUUGGCAAAAAAUGAGUGUUUGAUCCUUUUCAAGAAAACUACACUGGAUAUAAUUUCUGGAAACAAUUUGUCGUAUUGUGUAUCGUGUUAGUUUCCAUUCUGCUUCCGGGUUUUAGAGAAUGAUAGUAACCUCUCAGGAAAA